ACGGAAGUAGCUCAGUUGGUUAGAGCGUUGGAUUGUGGUCCCAAAGGUCGUGGGUUCAAUUCCCAUCUUCCGUCCCA
rnacentral:tRNA from 1 species